UUUUUUCUUUAUAUUUUUACUUAUACCAUAGGCUUUCAUUCAACUACGGGAAUUUAAACCAAAGGAUGCUACUGUAGAAAGCUAUUGUUAUUGGAAAAAUGAGGUUUUUUUCAGAGGUAACGUUCGGGUUUAUCCCUGACAGCCUGUAAUCAUCGGAAUCGAUGGACACCCUCGGAUGGAAUCUUCCAGAACACCAAGAAAGUUCCCCAACACGGCGAGUUUGUCGCCGGUUGGCGGUACAGUUUGAGAAUGGUGUAUGCCAGCAGGCAUAGAUCAACACUCAAGCUGCCGCCGUCCAAGAAAAGAAAGAAAAAAAAAUGACAGCUGACACAUCAGUCGAGUCUCCACGCACAGCCGGCUGUUCCCGUCUCAAGGCAGAGAGAUGACGACUGGCACUUUAGCACAUAUCUACCUCACCUGCACCGCGAGCCUUUGGCCACCUGCGCACCACCUUCACCAGCAUUCCAUCAUUUGCCAGAUCGUCAUGUUGAUCAGCGUUAGACUUCAACACCACGCCAUCAUCCUGCUCAACGACUUCAUUGCCUUUUCUUCCUGUUAAACAACGUUAAACUACACCACCAAGCCGUCAUCCUGCUAUACGACUUCAUUGCCUUUUCUUCCUGUUAAACAUCGUUAAACUACAUCAUCAAGCCAUCAUCCUGCUAAACGACUUCAUUGCCUUUUCUUCAUGUUGAACUUCGUUAAACAUCUUCACUGCUUGAAUUUCCUGUUAAACUACACCAGCAAUCCACCAUCCUGCUAAACGACUUCAUUGCCUUUCUUCAUGUUGAACUGCGUUAAACAUCUUCACUGCUUGAAUUUCCUGUUAAACCACAUCACCACGAAAUCUUCCUCUAACCCAGCAUUAGACAACUUCACUGCCAGGGCUGGUAGCUGCUACAUUUUCCUGCAACAUGCUCUGGCAUCUCCGCAGCAAUGCUCUGCUAAUGAAAACAUCAUCGCUUCAAGCUCUCGACAACAUCUCUAGCUGCAACAGAAUGCAUUUUGCUCGUCCAAAAUCUCCACCUUCUCUGCAUAUUGUAUCAUCUACGAAUUGAAUUUCACAACGCCUCAGCACAGAUGCUUUUUAGCUCACACCCUAGAGCAAAAAAAAAAUAUCAUCAUAAAAAAGUCAAAAAAAAAAAAAAAAAAAGAAAAAACUACAAAACACUCCUACAUAAGAGACACACAAGUUCAUGCCAGAAACUCCUCACAAGUCGUAGGAGAUGUUGGCGUUAAAUGGCAACAUAGACAGAUGAAUCCAACAAUAGAGAGCUGGAAUUGGCUGGGCCAUUUCAACUUCGUUAGACGACACCAGCAAGUCGACCAUCUCCUAUGAGAGUUUUAAUCCAUGGCGUAGGAGAUUGGACAACAGAUGAAGGCAGUACUCCAGCUCUUAGAGAAAUAGUUGUCUACAUCACCAGAAAGAGCAGACAGGUGUAUGGCACCACGCACCUGAGAUCAACGUAUUUACUAGUGCCAUGAAGACAUCAAGCAGACAGGUGUUAUGGCACCAAACAUCUGAAUGCAGAAAAUCACCAGUGCCAUAGAAACAAGCUCAAUACCUGAGCUCGCAGACAGGUGAAUGGCACCACACCUGAUGCAGAUUAUUCACCAUGGCCUAAAAGACAUAACCUUCACUCAAAUAUUUGCAGACAGGUGUAUGGCACCCACACCUCGAUGCAGACUUUUCUCCAGUGCCACAAAGACAGACUUUAGCAGACAGGUGUUGGCCGUCGCACCUGAAUGCAACCAACUCACCCGUACAGACAUGCGUACAUCUUCAACAGCCGACAGGUGUAAUGGCACCACUCACCUGAAUGCUGAUCAUCCACCAGUGCCACACAGACGUGCUCAAUACUAGAGCUGGUAGACAGGUGCUUGCCCGGGCACCUUAAUACUUUUAAAAAAAUUCAUCAGAUCCUUUGAACCUUGGUCCAAACUUCUUGAAUGAGCAGACAGGUGGAUUCCUGAACACCUGAUUGCAUCAAUCGUCGGAUCCUUAGAACUCUGGUCCAAACUUCAACAUGUAG